UACGUAGGGGCGAGCGUUGUCCGGAUUUACUGGGCGUAAAGGGUGAGUAGGCGGUUAUAUAUGUCAGGUGUAAAAGGCUAUGGCUUAACCAUGGUUAGCACUUGAAACUGUAUGACUUGAGUUGCAGGAGAGGUAAGUGGAAUUCCUAGUGUAGCGGUGAAAUGCGUAGAUAUUAGGAGGAACACCAGUGGCGAAGGCGACUUACUGGACUGUAACUGACGCUGAGUCACGAAAGCGUGGGUAGCAAAUAGGAUUAGAUACCCGCGUAGU
rnacentral:rRNA from 1 species